rnacentral:rRNA from 1 species
GAGUUUGAACAUGGCUCAGAUUGAACGCUGGCGGCAGGCCUAACACAUGCAAGUCGAACGGUAACAGGAAGCAGCUUGCUGCUUUGCUGACGAGUGGCGGACGGGUGAGUAAUGUCUGGGAAACUGCCUGAUGGAGGGGGAUAACUACUGGAAACGGUGGCUAAUACCGCAUAACGUCGCAAGACCAAAGAGGGGGACCUUCGGGCCUCUUGCCAUCAGAUGUGCCCAGAUGGGAUUAGCUUGUUGGUGAGGUAACGGCUCACCAAGGCGACGAUCCCUAGCUGGUCUGAGAGGAUGACCAGCCACACUGGAACUGAGACACGGUCCAGACUCCUACGGGAGGCAGCAGUGGGGAAUAUUGCACAAUGGGCGCAAGCCUGAUGCAGCCAUGCCGCGUGUAUGAAGAAGGCCUUCGGGUUGUAAAGUACUUUCAGCGGGGAGGAAGGUGUUGUGGUUAAUAACCGCAGCAAUUGACGUUACCCGCAGAAGAAGCACCGGCUAACUCCGUGCCAGCAGCCGCGGUAAUACGGAGGGUGCAAGCGUUAAUCGGAAUUACUGGGCGUAAAGCGCACGCAGGCGGUCUGUCAAGUCGGAUGUGAAAUCCCCGGGCUCAACCUGGGAACUGCAUUCGAAACUGGCAGGCUUGAGUCUUGUAGAGGGGGGUAGAAUUCCAGGUGUAGCGGUGAAAUGCGUAGAGAUCUGGAGGAAUACCGGUGGCGAAGGCGGCCCCCUGGACAAAGACUGACGCUCAGGUGCGAAAGCGUGGGGAGCAAACAGGAUUAGAUACCCUGGUAGUCCACGCCGUAAACGAUGUCUACUUGGAGGUUGUGCCCUUGAGGCGUGGCUUCCGGAGCUAACGCGUUAAGUAGACCGCCUGGGGAGUACGGCCGCAAGGUUAAAACUCAAAUGAAUUGACGGGGGCCCGCACAAGCGGUGGAGCAUGUGGUUUAAUUCGAUGCAACGCGAAGAACCUUACCUGGUCUUGACAUCCACAGAAGAAUCCAGAGAUGGAUUUGUGCCUUCGGGAACUGUGAGACAGGUGCUGCAUGGCUGUCGUCAGCUCGUGUUGUGAAAUGUUGGGUUAAGUCCCGCAACGAGCGCAACCCUUAUCCUUUGUUGCCAGCGGUUAGGCCGGGAACUCAAAGGAGACUGCCAGUGAUAAACUGGAGGAAGGUGGGGAUGACGUCAAGUCAUCAUGGCCCUUACGACCAGGGCUACACACGUGCUACAAUGGCGCAUACAAAGAGAAGCGACCUCGCGAGAGCAAGCGGACCUCAUAAAGUGCGUCGUAGUCCGGAUUGGAGUCUGCAACUCGACUCCAUGAAGUCGGAAUCGCUAGUAAUCGUGGAUCAGAAUGCCACGGUGAAUACGUUCCCGGGCCUUGUACACACCGCCCGUCACACCAUGGGAGUGGGUUGCAAAAGAAGUAGGUAGCUUAACCUUCGGGAGGGCGCUUACCACUUUGUGAUUCAUGACUGGGGUGAAGUCGUAACAAGGUAACCGUAGGGGAACCUGCGGUUGGA